AUGGCGAGCGCGGGGAGGAACCAGCGCCGGCGGGCGGAGGAGGCGCCGGGGGCGGGCCUGGACGACCUGAUGUCGCUCCCGCCGGAGAUGCUCAACGAGAUCCUCGCUCGGCUCCCCUUCGAGGAGCUGGUCCGCACCUGCCGCCUCUCCCGCGCCUGGCGCCGCCGCUGGGAAUCCGUCCCCGGCCUCGACAUCCAGUUCGACGACCCGUGGUCCGACGCCGCGCCCGACGCCCGCGCCCUGUGGCGAUGCUCCGCGCCCGUCGGCGGCUUCACCGCCCUCGUCCGCAUGGGCCACUUCCACCGCGCCGCCCGCUGGCUCCUAGCCCUGGCGCGCAAGCGCGUCCAGAAGCUCGUCCCCAGGUUCGACUACCCCGACUCGGCCCCCGUCGUCGGCCCCGCCCUCUUCUCCUGCGCCGCGCUCACCGACCUCGAGCUCUACGGCUACUGCCACCUGCCGCGCGCCCCGCCGGGCUUCCAAGGCUUCCCCAACCUCGUCACCCUCGUCCUCGACAACCUGCUCCUCCGUCUCCCCGGCGCCGCGGCGCAGCUCCAGCGCCUCAUCUCCUCGGCGCCCGGCCUCAGGGAGCUCUCGCUGCACAACCUGAAAGCCGGCAGGGCCCGGGCUGGCCUCGAAAUCUGCGCCAUCCGGGCGCCCAGCCUCCGUAUCCUCAGGCUCUUCAUCUCCAUCUUCCUCGACAACGGAUGCCGGCUCGCGGAGGACCUCCAGUUGCUGGAGGUGGCGUCCAUCUCCAUCGAUGCACUGUUAGGGACCCCAGCCUUCGUCGACACUUUUCGACAGAUUUCUAAUGUCAAUACGCUUUUCUUCUACACCGACUCAAAACAGAUUAAAGGAAAUCCGCUGGAAGGGAUUUCAUGGAAGUUUAAGAACUUGAGGUUUGCAGAGCUGACUGCAAUUUUGGCAAACUCCCAAGCAUCAGGUCGAUAUUUUCUUUGCUGA
rnacentral:rRNA from 1 species